GACGAACGCUGGCGGCGUGCUUAACACAUGCAAGUCGAACGGAAAGGCCCUGCUUUUGUGGGGUGCUCGAGUGGCGAACGGGUGAGUAACACGUGAGUAACCUGCCCUUGACUUUGGGAUAACUUCAGGAAACUGGGGCUAAUACCGGAUAGGAGCUCCUGCUGCAUGGUGGGGGUUGGAAAGUUUCGGCGGUUGGGGAUGGACUCGCGGCUUAUCAGCUUGUUGGUGGGGUAGUGGCUUACCAAGGCUUUGACGGGUAGCCGAACUGAGAGAGUGACCGGACAAAUAAAAACUGACAUACGGCCCAGACUCCGACGGGCUGCAGAAGGAGAGAAAAUAACAAUAUGGGCGGAAGCCUAGUGCAGCCAGUCCGCGUGCGAGAUCACGGCCGUCGGGUUGGAUGCAGCUUUCAGCUGUAACGAAGUGUGAGUGACGGUGAGGGGCUGAGAAGCACCGGCUAACUACGUG
rnacentral:rRNA from 1 species